rnacentral:rRNA from 1 species
AACGAACGCUGGCGGCAUGCCUAACACAUGCAAGUCGAACGAGAUCUUCGGGUCUAGUGGCGCACGGGUGCGUAACGCGUGGGAAUCUGCCCUUUGCUUCGGAAUAACAGUGAGAAAUUACUGCUAAUACCGGAUGAUGUCUUCGGACUAAAGAUUUAUCGGCAAGGGAUGAGCCCGCGUAGGAUUAGGUAGUUGGUGGGGUAAUGGCCUACCAAGCCGACGAUCCUUAGCUGGUCUGAGAGGAUGAUCAGCCACACUGGGACUGAGACACGGCCCAGACUCCGACGGGAGGCAGCAGUGGGGAAUAUUGGAUAAUGGGGGAAACCCUGAUCCAGCAAUGCCGCGUGAGUGAUGAAGUCCUUAGGGUUGUAAAGCUCUUUUACCAGGGAUGAUAAUGACAGUACCUGGAGAAUAAGCUCCGGCUAACUCCGUGCCAGCCGCCGCCGUAAUAC